CAAGAACCCAUAAUCGAUUAUAUUAUAUUUAUUAUAAAGAGAAUCGUUUUGAGUUCAGAUCUGUUUGGCUUUGGUCCAUAAUUUGAUUUUAUCUCCGAUUGUGAACCAGUGUGAUGGAAACCACAUAUGUCGCAUCCUGGGGAAGACUUCAAGAAGUAUUCAUAAAAGAAAAGAAAACUAUCUGCCGGGGAAAAAUGUGUGGAUUUCAGAUUCGACUGAAGAGGCUUUGCGUGUAUCAUCCAACUAUCAUGUGGAUCAAAGAUUUUUUAUGAGAUUAGUAGUUGUAAAAGCACCAAAGUGGCUUGGGGUUCGGUAGGGUUCUGAGUUCCGAGUUAAAAUUAAAGCCAAAACAAAUAUUGAGCAAGGCGCCGAACUUGGUGAAAUCCCUGUUUAGUGAUGAGGAACACAAAGAAAGUGCAGAAUGGACAAGAUUCCCGCAAUCAAGUUUUGCUGUUUAGGAUGUAUCAAAGCGAAAAAUUUUGGUGGAUCCAUCGGGUUCAUAUUUUUCUUGGAAAGUUUCUGCUAUGGGGAAGAAUAUGUUUCUAAUGCAAAGAAAUUCUUAAGAAGAGCUUUUAGCUCUUGAGUCAUGUGAGUGUCGGCAGGCUCUCUGUCUGUUUCCAUAAGAGAGGUCCGCCCCUCUGUGCUCUUGACUGGCGGCCAAUGUGAACUUCCAAAACAAACAAAAUAAUGUGUUGCAGCUUUUAACUCUUGAGUCAUGUGAGUGUCGGCAGCUCUCUGUCUGUUUCCAUAAGAGAGGUCAGCCCCUGCGCUCUUAACUGGCUGUCAAUGUGAACUUUCAAAACAAACACAGUAUGUACCAUGUUUACGCAAUUUUGUGACCCAAUGUCAUUUUCUCUUGAAUCAACCAUUCAAUUAAUAAAGCCUUUUUUUUAUUUUCAUUAAUCAAUCGUGAAAAAUUAUUAAUCAAGUAGCAUUUUAGUUUGUGGAUUAU